GAUUAUUGAGAGCAAUGCAUCCAAACAUUUGUUCUUAGAUUCCAUUUCUCCAAGGAAGACACGGCAACAUAAAAUGAGGAAGGAAGAUGUAUAUAUUGGAGGAUGAAUAGUAAAAAGAAAAGAAAAAUAAAAAAAAUGCAGUCAUGGAAUGACUUGGUACUUUUCACCAGAUAGGCUAAAUAGGUUGCCGUUGAAUCCAGUUUUCAGAAUUAAUGAAAGACAUGCUAGUUAAUUCAUUUAUGGCUUGAAGGCUCAGCUUCUUCAUCCAGUUCACCCUCUGUCUAGAGUCAGCUCCUGGUCCAUAGCAUCCGUACUCUGCAUAUGUUAUUUGGUUCUCUUGGCCAACAUAAUUCCAAGAAUUCCAUCCCGUGGGCUGUAUAACAUUUGCAAAGUAACACUUGAAGAAUAUCACCCUGGAAUACCCUCUCCAUGGCCUCCCCAAGUAGGUUAGACCAGUGCCAAAGAUAUUGCAGCCCUUGAACACAAAUCCAUUUGAAUCAUUUGGGCCAUCUCUUCCUUGUGCAGUUAUAAACCCACCUCCAAGUACCUUUAUGGUACAACCCUCAUAUAUAGAUUGGCCACUACCAAAGAUAAAAUCAACAGCUCCCUGAAUGGUGCAAGCUUUGAAAUAAUGUCUACCUUGAUCAUCCCACAGAGUGUCUUGCACCCCAACAAAAUUACACCGGUAAAAUGCAGAUUUAUCUCCAGAAAUCAUGGCAGCUACCGCUGGUGCCAUACGAUUAUAA
rnacentral:misc_RNA from 1 species